rnacentral:rRNA from 1 species
AUUGAACGCUGGCGGCAGGCUUAACACAUGCAAGUCGAGCGGAGAGAGGUAGCUUGCUACUGAUCUUAGCGGCGGACGGGUGAGUAAUGCUUAGGAAUCUGCCUAUUAGUGGGGGACAACAUUUCGAAAGGAAUGCUAAUACCGCAUACGUCCUACGGGAGAAAGCAGGGGAUCUUCGGACCUUGCGCUAAUAGAUGAGCCUAAGUCGGAUUAGCUAGUUGGUGGGGUAAAGGCCUACCAAGGCGACGAUCUGUAGCGGGUCUGAGAGGAUGAUCCGCCACCCUGGGACUGAGACACGGCCCAGACUCCUACGGGAGGAAGCAGUGGGGAAUAUUGGACAAUGGGCGCAAGCCUGAUCCAGCCAUGCCGCGUGCGUGAAGAAGGCCUUAUGGUUGUAAAGCACUUUAAGCGAGGAGGAGGCUACUUUAGAUAAUACCUAGAGAUAGUGGACGUUACUCGCAGAAUAAGCACCGGCUAACUCUGUGCCAGCCGCCGCCGUAAAAC